rnacentral:rRNA from 1 species
UGCCAGCAGCCGCGGUAAUACGAAGGGGGCUAGCGUUGCUCGGAAUUACUGGGCGUAAAGGGCGCGUAGGCGGACAGUUAAGUCAGAUGUGAAAGCCCGAGGCUCAACCUCGGGACUGCAUUUGAAACUGGAUAACUAGAGUACAGGAGAGGAAAGUGGAAUUCCUAGUGUAGCGGUGAAAUGCGUAGAUAUUAGGAAGAACACCAGUGGCGAAGGCGACUUUCUGGACUGUAACUGACGCUGAGGUACGAAAGCGUGGGGAGCGAACAGGAUUAGAUG